rnacentral:rRNA from 1 species
CCUUAAACUGGAGAUAGCCUUCCGAAAGGGAGAUUAAUACCGCAUAAUACUAUUUGAGGGCAUCUGAGGAUAGUUAAAGAUUUAUUGGUUUAAGAUGGGCAUGCGUGCCAUUAGCUAGUUGGUAGGGUAACGGCCUACCAAGGCGACGAUGGCUAGGGGUUCUGAGAGGAUGAUCCCCCACACUGGCACUGAGAUACGGGCCAGACUCCUACGGGAGGCAGCAGUAGGGAAUAUUGGGCAAUGGGCGAAAGCCUGACCCAGCCAUGCCGCGUGCAGGAAGAAGGCCUUCUGGGUUGUAAACUGCUUUUAUCUGGGAAGAAAAAGCCCCUGCGGGGGAAACUGACGGUACCAGAGGAAUAAGCACCGGCUAACUCCGUGCCAGCAGCCGCGGUAAUACGGANGGUGCAAGCGUUGUCCGGAUUUAUUGGGUUUAAAGGGUGCGUGGGCGGCCCGGUAAGUCAGUGGUGGAAACCUCCAGCUCAACUGGAGAACUGCCAUUGAUACUGCCGGGCUUGAGUACAGACGAGGUUGGCGGAAUUGAUAGUGUAGCGGUGAAAUGCAUAGAUACUAUCAAGAACUCCGAUUGCGUAGGCAGCUAACUAGGCUGUAACUGACGCUGAGGCACGAAAGCGUGGGGAGCGAACAGGAUUAGAUACCCUGGUAGUCCACGCUGUAAACGAUGAUGACUCGAUGUUGGCGAUAAACUGUCAGCGUCUAAGCGAAAGCGUUAAGUCAUCCACCUGGGGAGUACGCCCGCAAGGGUGAAACUCAAAGGAAUUGAGGGGGGCCCGCACAAGCGGUGGAGCAUGUGGUUUAAUUCGAUGAUACGCGAGGAACCUUACCUAGGCUAGAAUGCGCGUGACCGCCUCAGAGAUGAGGCUUUCCUUCGGGACACAAAGCAGGGUGCUGCAUGGCCGUCGUCAGCUCGUGCCGUGAGGUGUUGGGUUAAGUCCCGCAACGAGCGCACCCCUAUCUUUAGUUGCCAGCACAUGAUGGUGGGGACUCUAAAGAGACUGCCUGCGCCAGCAGUGAGGA